UACGAUACUAUAUAACUCCUGAUGUGUUCAUGUGGCUACUAACUCUUGACGAAGGGCCUUCGCUCGAAAUGUCGAGUUUCGGCUUGUUUUUCUCAGGUAAUAAUAUAACUACUCAGCACAGCAAGUCAGUCACAUUGGUACUACCCACACUGGCAGUGGCGGAAAUCUCGGUGGGGCGGGCAGCUAGCCGCCCCCCCCCCCC